UACGGAGGGAGCUAGCGUUAUUCGGAAUUACUGGGCGUAAAGCGUACGUAGGCGGCUUUGUAAGUUAGAGGUGAAAGCCCGGAGCUCAACUCCGGAAUUGCCUUUAAGACUGCAUCGCUAGAAUUGUGGAGAGGUAAGUGGAAUUCCGAGUGUAGAGGUGAAAUUCGUAGAUAUUCGCAAGAACACCAGUGGCGAAGGCGGCUCACUGGCCCGGUACUGACGCUGAGGUGCGAAAGCGUGGGGAGCAAACAGG
rnacentral:rRNA from 1 species